UCUGUCCAGCCAAGGGCGGCCCACACCGCUAUUCUUUUCACCACUCCUAUUUUCUAGAACAUGAUGUUCUCUUCUACCUGUGGAACUCAGAAGUAUUUCAAAACUGAAGGGAAAGCUUCCCUUUGCUCGCGACCCCCCUUUCUAAGUAUGGAAUCGGAUCCCAGUGGAACUCCAGCAGACCCUUAAGACAACAGGUCUCACCCUUUGCCUGAGCAAAUCUAGCCUCCCCUACUACUUCAAAGGACUUUUGUGAAAAUAAAAUGAGAUGGCAGAAGUAUCUCGUGUGGAGGUAAACAAGAAUCACUCGACAAUACAACUUUUCUUUCCUCACAAACGCCCAUAACACUGUUCAUUGACAUCUUGAUUUUGGUUCUUCAAUUUCAAGAACCCUUCCCUCCAUGCCAAAGGAGAAAGAAGGAAGCAAAACAAUUAUUGGCAAUCCAAACUCAUCACUACCCCCAAUUUUCUUCCAAUUUCUCUUCAUGUUCCUUCCAAGAGCAGAGUCCUGCCUCUGCUUUGCCACACAUUUUAUGAGCAUUGUUCUAUUCUGUCCAUUGUCAGUGAAAUCAACUCAAGAUCAAAAGAAAGAAGAUUGUGUUUCCUCUCUAAUUCUUACUCCAUCCCGGCAUCCAGUGCCCAUGUGUUCAAUGGAAACCAUGGAUUUUUUUAGACUCAUUAAACAUGGUCAUUGUGUAUAAAAGAAAAGUCUUCCGUUCUUCAUAGGACUCACCAAUUGAGGAAAAAUACCUUCCCUCUGAUGAGUGCCCAGGAAAACAAUAAGAAAAGGCCUCAAACGAGAACCAGAGAACAAGGAGUUUUGCUAAAGAACCACUGUGAAAUGAUUGAAGUUCCCAUGCAAACAAACCAUUAGCAGAGUUCAAAUGCAAUUUAAAUUACCAGUUGUUAAAGUGCUCCUCAAUUUCGUGGAGAAAUAUGAAGCCGCCUUCAGAUAUACUCCUGACCUCAAAACCAGAGAGGGCCACGGCAAAGCUCUCUCCUAAGAGAAGAACAAGAAAAGGCUGAUGAGUGAUUAGUCAAAGGUGCUCAAAAUGAGCAGAUCCUUGGCAGGAACAGGAAAGACACUCUUCCAGAUUAAUGAAACAAGUUCUGGGAUAUCCACACUGCCAGUUUCCACUGCUCUAUCUGGUCCGGAACCAGGAACUGCUCCUGCACAGAGAGGCUAAAGGAUUCACAAAACAAAGGCAGGCCUCGUCGCGUCUGGAAAGGGAAAGGAUUUCUAGAGGCUACCAUGAGUACAGGAUGAAGCUGAAUGCUUUGAUACAGGAUUUGUGUAAAUUAUUUAACCUCCCUGAGCUCAAGGUCCCUGUCUGCCAAACAGCACUAAUACCACCUACCCAUCGGGGUCUAAGUAAUCCUGCCCCGGGGAUUCCAAUUCCAGCACGCACUGCACAGAGCCCACACGCAGCAUGCAUUAAUGCUCGGCCCCUUGGCUUCCAAGGUUUUCAUAAUUUCUCAAAGCUUAUGAUUCUGUGGCUCUAAUUGAUGCAGACUAUAACUGACUCUUGUAAAAGCUAUGUAUGGUCCCUAAGUGCGCUGUGUGGAAAUCCAUUUGUCAUUCAAAAAAUAAAAUAAAACACGUGUGUGAA